AUUGAACGCUGGCGGCAUGCUUUACACAUGCAAGUCGAACGGCAGCGGGGACUUCGGUCCGCCGGCGAGUGGCGAACGGGUGAGUAAUGCAUCGGAACGUGCCUAUCAGUGGGGGGAUAACGCUUCGAAAGGAGUGCUAAUACCGCAUAUUCUCUGAGGAGGAAAGCAGGGGACCUUAGGGCCUUGCGCUGAUAGAGCGGCCGAUGUCGGAUUAGCUAGUUGGUGAGGUAAAGGCUCACCAAGGCGACGAUCCGUAGCGGGUCUGAGAGGAUGAUCCGCCACACUGGGACUGAGACACGGCCCAGACUCCUACGGGAGGCAGCAGUGGGGAAUUUUGGACAAUGGGCGAAAGCCUGAUCCAGCCAUGCCGCGUGAGUGAAGAAGGCCUCGGUUGUAAGACGUCUUCUAGGUGGAAGGAAAGACGGAUGGGUUAAGUACCUCGUCCGGACGUGACGGUACC
rnacentral:rRNA from 1 species